GGGGCUGUAGCUCAGUGGUAGAGCAACACAGGCUAUAGGUGGAGGUCGCAGGUUCGAAUCCUGCUAGCGCCA
rnacentral:tRNA from 1 species